UACGAAGGGGGCUAGCGUUGCUCGGAAUCACUGGGCGUAAAGCGCACGUAGGCGGAUUGCUAAGUCAGGGGUGAAAUCCUGGAGCUCAACUCCAGAACUGCCUUUGAUACUGGCGAUCUUGAGUCCGGGAGAGGUGAGUGGAACUGCGAGUGUAGAGGUGAAAUUCGUAGAUAUUCGCAAGAACACCAGUGGCGAAGGCGGCUUUCUGGACGAUAACUGACGCUGAGACGCGAAAGCGUGGGGAGCAAACAGG
rnacentral:rRNA from 1 species